AUACGUAGGUGACAAGCGUUAUCCGGAUUUACUGGGCGUAAAGGGAGCGCAGGCGGAGAUGCAAGCGUGACGUCAAAUUUCGGGGCUCAACCCCGUCUCGCGUCGCGAACUGCGUCCCUUGGUUGCGGGAAGGGGAGGCGGAACUCGUGGUGUAGCGGUGAAAUGCAUAGAUAUCACGAAGAACUCCGAUCGCGAAGGCAGCCUUCCGGCCCGUCAACGACGCUCAUGCUCGAAGGUGCGGGUAUCAAACAGGAUUAGAUACCCUGGUAGUCCGCACAGUAAACGAUGGACACCCGCGGUUUGGCCUGUAUGGCUGAGCCGCCAAGCGAAAGCGUUAAGUGUCCCACCUGGGGAGUACGCCGGCAACGGUGAAACUCAAAUGAAUUGACGGGG
rnacentral:rRNA from 1 species